rnacentral:rRNA from 1 species
AACGCUGGCGGCGUGCCUAACACAUGCAAGUCGCACGAGAAAGUUGGCUUCGGCCGAUGAGUAAAGUGGCGCACGGGUGAGUAAUGCGUGGAUAAUCUACCCUUUAGUUAGGAAUAACGUACCGAAAGGUGCGCUAAUACCUGGUAAUACUGAGCAACUACUGUUGCUUAGUCAAAGAAGGCCUCUGUUUACAAGCUUUUGCUGAAGGAUGAGUCCGCGUACCAUUAGCUAGUUGGUGGGGUAAUGGCCUACCAAGGCUACGAUGGUUAGCUGGUCUGAGAGGAUGAUCAGCCACACUGGAACUGAGACACGGUCCAGACUCCUACGGGAGGCAGCAGUGAGGAAUAUUGCGCAAUGGGGGCAACCCUGACGCAGCAACGCCGCGUGAGUGAGGAAGGUUUUCGGACCGUAAAGCUCUGUCGAGUGGGAAGAAAUGUAUCAUGGCUAAUAUCCAUGGUAUUUGACGGUACCGCUAAAGGAAGCACCGGCUAACUCCGUG